rnacentral:rRNA from 1 species
CCUACGGGAGGCAGCAGUGAGGAAUAUUGGUCAAUGGACGAGAGUCUGAACCAGCCAAGUAGCGUGAAGGAUGACUGCCCUAUGGGUUGUAAACUUCUUUUAUAAAGGAAUAAAACGAGGCACGUGUGCCUUUUUGUAUGUACUUUAUGAAUAAGGAUCGGCUAACUCCGUGCCAGCAGCCGCGGUAAUACGGAGGAUCCGAGCGUUAUCCGGAUUUAUUGGGUUUAAAGGGAGCGUAGAUGGGUUGUUAAGUCAGUUGUGAAAGUUUGCGGCUCAACCGUAAAAUUGCAAUUGAUACUGGCAGUCUUGAGUACAGUUGAGGUAGGCGGAAUUCGUGGUGUAGCGGUGAAAUGCUUAGAUAUCACGAAGAACCCCGAUUGCGAAGGCAGCUUACUAAGCUGUGACUGACAUUGAUGCUCGAAAGUGUGGGUAUCAAACAGGAUUAGAUACCCCAGUAGUC